rnacentral:rRNA from 1 species
AUGGGUCAACUCGAGUCAGAGGUGACUGAUCUGAAGAACCGCUUUGAGGCCCUAGAGACGGAACUCCAAAAGGCCGACACCAAGUUCAAAUUCAGCAUAACUGAGCAAGAAAAACUAAAGAAAGAAUUUGAAACUGAAAAGAAGGCCUGGGCUGAUGAAAAAACUGCAUUGAUUAACCGAGCUGAGAAGGCAGAGGUGGCUCUGGAAGAAGCAACUGGCGAGUUAACCGGCUUAAAGCACCAUGUUUCUCAGAUGGUCUCGGCGAUCUUUGCUAAGUCGCCCUGCAAGUGUUUAAAUAUUUGA